rnacentral:rRNA from 1 species
AACGAACGCUGGCGGCAGGCUUAACACAUGCAAGUCGAACGCCUGUAGCAAUACAGGAGUGGCAGACGGGUGAGUAACACGUGGGAACGUGCCCUUCGGUUCGGAAUAACUCAGGGAAACUUGGGCUAAUACCGGAUACGUCCGCGAGGAGAAAGAUUCAUCGCCGAAGGAUCGGCCUGCGUCCGAUUAGCUAGUUGGUGGGGUAAUGGCUCACCAAGGCGACGAUCGGUAGCUGGUCUGAGAGGAUGAUCAGCCACACUGGGACUGAGACACGGCCCAGACUCCGACGGGAGGCAGCAGUGGGGAAUAUUGGACAAUGGGCGCAAGCCUGAUCCAGCCAUGCCGCGUGGGUGAUGAAGGCCCUAGGGUUGCAAAGCCCUUUCGGCGGGGAAGAUAAUGACGGUACCCGCAGAAGAAGCCCCGGCUAACUUCGUGCCAGCAGCCGCGGUAA